rnacentral:misc_RNA from 1 species
AAGUCGUAACAAGGUAACCGUAGGUGAACCUGCGGUUGGAUCAUUACCGAUUCUAUUUCUCUUUUCUAGGAAUAAAUUUGCGAAUGGCUCUUCUGAUAAGCCUUUACUCGCUUUUGAGUUUGGAGUAUCUUUUAAGCCAACGAUGACUGACAGAAAUCUUUUCUUCCAGUCUAUAGUAGCCAAUUAUUGAAAACCCUAGUUAAGCAGAAAAGAUCAACAUUUUGUGCACUAUUGAUGUUUUUUGGGUCUUUUUUCCCUGGAAGGAAGGCCCAGCAUUUUUAAACAAACCAUAUCAAUUUGUCUUACAUCUCUAUGAAAAUAGAAACAACUUUUGACAACGGAUCUCUUGGCUCUC